rnacentral:rRNA from 1 species
CAGUAGCCGCGGGAAUACAGAGGGUGCGAGCGUUAAUCGGAUUUACUGGGCGUAAAGCGUGCGUAGGCGGCUAAUUGAGUCGGAUGUAAAAUCCCCGAGCUUAACUUGGGAAUUGCAUUCGAUACUGGUUAGCUAGAGUGUGGGAGAGGAUGGUAGAAUUCCAGGUGUAGCGGUGAAAUGCGUAGAGAUCUGGAGGAAUACCGAUGGCGAAGGCAGCCAUCUGGCCUAACACUGACGCUGAGGUACGAAAGCAUGGGGAGCAAACAGGAUUAGAUACCCGGGUAGUCCCUGUCUCUUAUAC